CGCGCUCCCUGUGUGGUUGGUGCGGUCCAUGGCGAGCGCAUCAUGGCGAUCGAAGGUGGAGAGAGAACCUGUGGAGUACAUGAACUUAUCUGUAUUAGAAAAGAUCUGUCCAGAGGCUGACUGAAAUAAUCCGGGUACCCUACCUCUCGGAUCCAUUCCUGUCACAAAGGAGCCUGUUUGCUUGCUUUCUCUUAAGUUCCCACCCAUCAAUCUAUAAUAAACUAUUUUUAACCUCAAAAUAAACUAAAGCAAAUAAUCCUCAAA
rnacentral:lncRNA from 1 species